GCUGGACAUGAUUUGUCUCAGUUCUCAAGAAUGACUGAUGUAAUAGUGCGACAUUUGCAAAAUUUGAUAUCUUACUUUACAUUUCAGACAUGGAUGGUUAGGGUUAGAGGAUGAUUUUGAAUUUAACAACAGGAAAUAAAAUUUGGCUGGUGUGCAAGACAGGAUUUAUCAUAUAGAAAGGCUGUAGCAAAAUUUUAGAGCAUUAGUUUUUUGAGUGGAUGGAUUCAGAAUUUUUGGCUUCCCUGUAUAUCGCAGCUGCUGCUGUAAUGUACAGUACUUUAGUAAACUUUAUUUUUACACUCUAAAAAACGCUGGGUUGUUUUUUCUACCCAAGCGCUGGGUUGCCUCUGUUGGGUCAUUUUUCUGGGUUAUUUACAGAGAGUUGGGUAGUUUUUGUGUAACCCAGCUGCUGGGUUGAAGUUUGAUUGGCUCCUCCCCCAAAGUUCACCGGUGGAUUCAGCGGCUGUCAGUCAGAGCUUCGUGUCUCUCUUGAGCUCCCACACCGCUGAUGACGGUUCAUUUAAGGGAAAAUGAGUUAAAUACAAGGUUGGCAUCAACAUGGUGGAAUACCUCCAGCAGGCUGAAGUGUCAAGGCCGUACCCCUACUGUACAUCCUGACGUUGGGAGAUGAUGACCAGCGCUGCUCUCAGGCAUUCGUCAUUCUGGUGGGACAGGCUCUGGAGCAAUGCACACUACUUGGGGCGGUUAAUGUGUGCUUCAAGGCAUUUUAUAUUUUUGACAUUAACUAUUUAAAGCAGUGUGCUCCUGUAUAGGACUUUUUGUAAUGUUGCUAUGAAAUAGCGAGGCCUACUUGAAAAGUCAUAGACAGUGUUUGUAUGUUAAAACGGAACCAGGGCUGGAUAGUUUUGUUCUGCAGAAAAGAUAUCUAAAGUCACAGAGAGAUCCUGCUCUGUAGAAGCUGCCUCAGCCUAUUUGUGUUAUUACUCCAUUCUGCCCUUGUGAGUAAUAGUAUAGUAAUGAUGUCGCUGUUGAUUAUCUGUUCUUGUGCUUUUGAAAAAUAAACGUUUUUUCUAUGAACAUUUAA